rnacentral:rRNA from 1 species
GGCUUAGUCUAGGCUUCGGUCUUAUUUCGGCUGUGCGCUCAGGCUGCACGCCGUUAACCUCUCACACCUGUGCACCUUUUCGGUUGCGGCUUCGGCCGCUUCCGCUUUUACAUGCAACCACGAAAAGUCUAGAAUGUGACGAGAACUAUAAAGUAACAACUUUCAACAACGGAUCUCUUGGCUCUCGCAUCGAUGAAGAACGCAGCGAAAUGCGAUAAGUAAUGUGAAUUGCAGAAUUCAGUGAAUCAUCGAAUCUUUGAACGCACCUUGCGCUCCUUGGUAUUCCAUGGAGCAUGCCUGUUUGAGUGUCACGUAAACCCUCACCCCUGCGAUGUAACAGUCGCCUGCGGUGGACUUGGACCGUGCCGGUAAUCGGCUCGUCUUGAAAUGCAUUAGCUGGUGCUUUUAGAGUGCUGGGCGAACGGUGUGAUAAUUAUCUGCGCCGACUGCCCUGGGCCUCUUCAGCGGCGCUGCUUACAGCCGUCCCUUGUGGACAACUAUUUUAAAGCUUUGGCCUCAAAUCAGGUAGGACUACCCGCUGAACUUAAGCAUAUCAAAAUCGGAAAAA